GACGUAGGAGGCGAGCGUUGUCCGGAUUCAUUGGGCGUAAAGAGCGCGCAGGCGGCUUGGUAAGUCGGAUGUGAAAUCCCGAGGCUCAACCUCGGGUCUGCAUCCGAUACUGCCCGGCUAGAGGUAGGUAGGGGAGAUCGGAAUUCCUGGUGUAGCGGUGAAAUGCGCAGAUAUCAGGAGGAACACCGAUGGCGAAGGCAGCUCGCUGGGACGGUACUGACGCUGAGACGCGAAAGCGUGGGGAGCAAACAGG
rnacentral:rRNA from 1 species